UACGUAGGGGGCAAGCGUUGUCCGGAAUCAUUGGGCGUAAAGCGCGUGUAGGCGGCCCGGUAAGUCCGCUGUGAAAGUCGGGGGCUCAACCCUCGAAUGCCGGUGGAUACUGUCGGGCUAGAGUGCGGGAGAGGCGAGUGGAAUUCCUGGUGUAGCGGUGAAAUGCGCAGAUAUCAGGAGGAACACCAAUUGCGAAGGCAGCUCGCUGGAACGUAACUGACGCUGAGACGCGAAAGCGUAGGGAGCAAACAGG
rnacentral:rRNA from 1 species